rnacentral:rRNA from 1 species
UCAGGAUGAACGCUGGCGGCGUGCCUAAUACAUGCAAGUCGAGCGAGAAAUUAAGAAGACGCGUUUCGGACAGGUCAUCUUAAUGGAAAGCGGCGGACGGGUGAGUAACGCGUAGGCAACCUGCCCUUAGCAGAGGGAUAGCCAUUGGAAACGAUGAUUAAAACCUCAUAAUGCCGGUUUUACACAUGUUGAACCGGCCAAAGAUUUAUCGGCUAAGGAUGGGCCUGCGUCUGAUUAACUAGUUGGUGAGGUAACGGCUCACCAAGGUAACGAUCAGUAGCCGACCUGAGAGGGUGAUCGGCCACAUUGGAACUGAGACACGGUCCAAACUUCUACGGAAGGCAGCAGUAAGGAAUCUUGCACAAUUGGGGGGAAACCCUGAUGCAGCAACGCCGCGUGAACGAUGAAGGCCUUCGGGUUGUAAAGUUCUGAUCUUGGGGAAGAAGAAAGUGACGGUACCCAAGGAGAAAGCCCCGGCUAAAUACGUGCCAGCCGCGGC